UACAGAGGUCUCAAGCGUUGUUCGGAAUCACUGGGCGUAAAGGGUGUGUAGGCGGCGUGAAAAGUCAGAUGUGAAAUCUGGGGGCUCAACCCCCCAAAUAGCAUCCGAUACUGUCAUGCUGGAGGUCUGUAGAGGAGUCUGGAAUUCUCGGUGUAGCAGUGAAAUGCGUAGAGAUCGAGAGGAACACUUGUUGCGAAAGCGAGACUCUGGGCAGAAACUGACGCUGAAACACGAAGGCCAGGGUAGCGAACGGG
rnacentral:rRNA from 1 species